GGCCCUACGGGACGCAGCAGUAGGGAAUUUUCGUCAAUGGGCGCAGGCCUGAACGAGCGAUGCCGCGUGAGUGAAGAAGGCCUUCGGGUCGUAAAGCUCUGUUGCGGGGGAAAAAAGGCAGCAUCAGGAAAUGGGUGCUGACUGAUGGUGCCCCGCCAGAAAGUCACGGCUAACUACGUGCCAGCAGCCGCGGUAAUACGUAGGUGGCGAGCGUUAUCCGGAAUGAUUGGGCGUAAAGGGUGCGCAGGCGGUCCUGCAAGUCUGGUGUGAAACGCCUGAGCUCAACUCAUGCCUGGCU
rnacentral:rRNA from 1 species